rnacentral:rRNA from 1 species
UACGGCGGGGGCUAGCGUUGUUCGGAAUUACUGGGCGUAAAGCGCGUGUAGGCGGGCCGGUAAGUCGGGGGUGAAAGCCCAGAGCUCAACUCUGGAAUUGCCUUCGAUACUGGCGGCCUGGAGCAUGAUAGAGGCGAGUGGAAUUGCGAGUGUAGAGGUGAAAUUCGUAGAUAUUCGCAGGAACACCAGUGGCGAAGGCGACUCGCUGGAUCAUUGCUGACGCUGAGACGCGAAAGCGUGGGGAGCAAACAGG